rnacentral:rRNA from 1 species
GAUGAACGCUGGCGGCGUGCCUAAUACAUGCAAGUCGAGCGAACGGACGAGACGCUUGCUUCUCUGAUGUUAGCGGCGGACGGGUGAGUAACACGUGGAUAACCUACCUAUAAGACUGGGAUAACUUCGGGAAACCGGAGCUAAUACCGGAUAAUAUUUUGAACCGCAUGGUUCAAUAGUGAAAGACGGUCUUGCUGUCACUUAUAGAUGGAUCCGCGCUGCAUUAGCUAGUUGGUAAGGUAACGGCUUACCACGGCAACGAUGCAUAGCCGACCUGAGAGGGUGAUCGGCCACAGUGGAACUGAGACACGGUCCAGGCUCCGACGGGAGGCAGCAGUAGGGAAGCUUCCGCAAUGGGCGAAAGCCUGACGGAGCAACGCCGCGUGAGUGAUGAAGGUCUUCGGAUCGUAAAACGCUGUUAGUAGGGAAGAACAUAUGUGUAAGUAACUGUGCACAUCUUGACGGUACCUAAACAGAAAGCCACGGCUAACUACGU